rnacentral:rRNA from 1 species
GACGAACGCUGGCGGCGUGCUUAACACAUGCAAGUCGAACGAUGAAGCUGGAGCUUGCUCCAGCGGAUUAGUGGCGAACGGGUGAGUAACACGUGAGCAAUCUGCCCUUGACUCUGGGAUAACUGCGGGAAACUGUAGCUAAUACCGGAUACGAGAUUGUAAGGCAUCUUCAGAUCUGGAAAGAAUUUCGGUCAAGGAUGAUCUCGCGGCCUAUCAGCUAGUUGGUGAGGUAAUGGCUCACCAAGGCGACGACGGGUAGCCGGCCUGAGAGGGUGACCGGCCACACUGGAACUGAGACACGGUCCAGACUCCUACGGGAGGCAGCAGUGGGGAAUAUUGCACAAUGGGCGAAAGCCUGAUGCAGCAACGCCGCGUGAGGGAUGAAGGCCUUCGGGUUGUAAACCUCUUUUAGUAGGGAAGAAGCGAAAGUGACGGUACCUACAGAAAAAGCACCGGCUAACUACGUGCCAGCAGCCGCCGUAA